rnacentral:rRNA from 1 species
UACGUAGGGUGCAAGCGUUUAAUCGGAAUUACUGGGCGUAAAGCGUGCGCAGGCGGUUCGCUAAGACAGAUGUGAAAUCCCCGGGCUUAACCUGGGAACUGCGCUUGUAACUGGCAAGCUGGGAGUGCGGCAGAGGGGGGUGGAAUUCCGACGUGUAGCAGUGAAAUGCGUAGAGAUGUGGAGGAACACCGAUGGCGAAGGCAGCCCCCUGGGCUAACACUGACGCUCAUGCACGAAAGCGUGGGGAGCAAACAGG